UACGUAGGGUGCGAGCGUUAAUCGGAAUUACUGGGCGUAAAGCGUGCGCAGGCGGUUAUGUAAGGCAGAUGUGAAAUGCCCGGGCUUAACCUGGGAACUGCAUUUGUGACUGCAUGGCUAGAGUGUGUCAGAGGGGGGUAGAAUUCCACGUGUAGCAGUGAAAUGCGUAGAUAUGUGGAGGAACACCGAUGGCGAAGGCAGCCCCCUGGGAUAACACUGACGCUCAUGCACGAAAGCGUGGGGAGCAAACAGG
rnacentral:rRNA from 1 species